rnacentral:rRNA from 1 species
AGUUUGAUCCUGGCUCAGGAUAAACGCUGGCGGCGUGCUUUAAGCAUGUAAGUCGCACGGAUCGGCGCAAGCCGGUGAGUGGCAGACGGCUGAGGAAGACGGAAGAAACCUGCCCUUUGGAGGGGGAUAACUCCGCGAAAGCGGGCUAAGACCGCGUACGCUCGUUCGGGGAAGAGCCGGACGAGGAAAACGGCAACGUGCCAAGGGAGGGGCUUCCGGCCCAUCAGGUAGUUGGUGAGGUAAUGGCCCACCAAGCCGAUGACGGGUCGCUGGUCUGAGAGGAUGACCAGCCAGACUGGGACUGAGACACGGCCCAGACUCCUACGGGAGGCAGCAGCUAGGAAUCUUGCACAAUGGGCGAAAGCCUGAUGCAGCGACGCCGCGUGGGGGACGACGGUCUUCGGAUUGUAAACCCCUUUUGGGUGGGAAGAGAUAGGACGGUACCACCUGAAUAAGCCCCGGCUAACUACGUGCCAGCAGCCGCGGUAAUACGUAGGGGGCGAGCGUUGUCCGGAUUUACUGGGCGUAAAGAGCGCGUAGGUGGUUGAGUAGGUUGGUGGUGAAAGGUUGGGGCUUAACCCCAAGAGGUCCACCAAGACCGCUCGACUGCGAGGGCAGUAGAGGAAGGUAGAAUUCCGGGUGUAGUGGUGAAAUGCGUAGAUAUCCGGAGGAAUACCGGUGGCGAAGGCGGCCUUCUGGGCUGUCCCUGACACUGAGGCGCGAAAGCGUGGGGAGCGAACUGAAUUAGAUACUCAGGUAGUCCACGCCCUCAACGAUGGACACUAGGUGUGGGGGGUAUCGACCCCUCCCGUGCCGGAGCUAACGCAGUAAGUGUCCCGCCUGGGGAGUACGGCCGCAAGGCUAAAACUCAAAGGAAUUGACGG